rnacentral:rRNA from 1 species
UGGGGGAUAUUGCACAAUGGGCGAAAGCCUGAUGCAGCGACGCCGCGUGGGGGAUGAAGGCCUUCGGGUUGUAAACUUCUUUUGCUCUGAACAAGGCAUGCUAAUGGGUGUGUUGAGUGUAGGGGUUGAUUAGCGCCGGCUAACUACGUGCCAGCAGCCGCGGUAAUACGUAGGGCGCGAGCGUUGUCCGGAAUUAUUGGGCGUAAAGGGCUUGUAGGUGGCUGGUUGCGUCUGUCGUGAAAUCUCAUGGCUUAACUGUGGGUUUGCGGUGGGUACGGGCUGGCUUGAGUGCAGUAGGGGAGGCUGGAAUUCCUGGUGUAGCGGUGGAAUGCGCAGAUAUCAGGAGGAAUACCGGUGGCGAAGGCGGGUCUCUGGGCUGUUACUGACACUGAGGAGCGAAAGCAUGGGGAGCGAACAGG